rnacentral:rRNA from 1 species
GAUGAACGCUAGCUACAGGCUUAACACAUGCAAGUCGAGGGGAAACGACAUUGGAAGCUUGCUUCCGGUGGGCGUCGACCGGCGCACGGGUGAGUAACGCGUAUCCAACCUGCCCACCACUUGGGAAUAACCUUGCGAAAGUAAGACUAAUGCCCAAUGACGUUGAAAGAAGACAUCUGAUUUCAACUAAAGAUUUAUCGGUGAUGGAUGGGGAUGCGUCCGAUUAGCUUGUUGCGGGGUAACGGCCCACCAAGGCAACGAUCGGUAGGGGUUCUGAGAGGAAGGUCCCCCACAUUGGAACUGAAACACGGUCCAAACUCCUACGGGAGGCAGCAGUGAGGAAUAUUGGUCAAUGGGCGAGAGCCUGAACCAGCCAAGUAGCGUGCAGGAUGACGGCCCUAUGGGUUGUAAACUGCUUUUAUAAGGGAAUAAAGUGGGGCUCGUGAGCUCUUUUGCAUGUACCUUAUGAAUAAGGACCGGCUAAUUCCGUG